UUACGACCAUAUCCCUUUAAAACACUGAUCCUCAUACGAUCACCGAAGUUAAGCGACGUUGAGUCUGGUCGAUACCUAGAAGGGUGACCGCUAGGGAAAAACAGGUACU